AUUGAACGCUGGCGGCAUGCCUUACACAUGCAAGUCGAACGGCAGCACGGGAGCUUGCUCCUGGUGGCGAGUGGCGAACGGGUGAGUAAUGUAUCGGAACGUACCUUUCAGUGGGGGAUAACGUAGCGAAAGUUACGCUAAUACCGCAUAUUCUGUGAGCAGGAAAGCAGGGGAUCGCAAGACCUUGCGCUGAUUGAGCGGCCGAUAUCAGAUUAGCUAGUUGGUGGGUAAAGGCCUACCAAGGCUACGAUCUGUAGCGGGUCUGAGAGGAUGAUCCGCCACACUGGAACUGAGACACGGUCCAGACUCCUACGGGAGGCAGCAGUGGGGAAUUUUGGACAAUGGGGGCAACCCUGAUCCAGCCAUGCCGCGUGAGUGAAGAA
rnacentral:rRNA from 1 species